GCAGCAACGCCGCGUGAAGGAUGAAGGCCUUCGGGUCGUAAACUUCUUUUCUGGGGGAAGAGGAAGGACGGUACCCCAGGAAUAAGACACGGCUAACUACGUGCCAGCAGCCGCGGUAAUACGUAGGUGUCGAGCGUUAUCCGGAAUUACUGGGCGUAAAGGGCACGCAGGUGGCGAGGCAAGUCUAGUGUGAAAGCUCUCGGCUUAACUGGGAGAGGACGCUGGAAACUGCCUGGCUUGAGGCGAUGAGAGGGGUGCGGAAUUCCCGGAGUAGUGGUGGAAUGCGUAGAUAUCGGGAAGAACACCAGUGGCGAAGGCGGCACCCUGGCAUUGACCUGACACUGAGGUGCGAAAGCGUGGGUAGCGAACGGGAUUAGAUACCCCGGUAGUCCACGCCCUAAACUAUGGACACUAGGUGUUGAGGGAUUCGACCCCCUCAGUGCCGUCGCUAACGCAUUAAGUGUCCCGCCUGGGUAGUACGGUCGCAAGACUAAAACUCAAAGGAAUAGACGGGGACCCGCACAAGCGGUGGAGCAUCUGGUUUAAUUCGACAGUAAGCGAGGAACCUUACCAAGACUUGACAUCCCGAGAAGAUCGCCGAAAGGUGAUUGUGCCGUAAGGAACUCGGUGACAGGUGCUGCAUGGUUGUCGUCAGCUCGUGCCUUGAGGUGUACGGUUAAGUCCGUAAACGAGCGCAACCCUUGUCUCAAGUUGCAUUUU
rnacentral:rRNA from 1 species